UUUGGUUGAGAUUCCUUAUCUAUAUCUUUGUCACCAUGUAUUUAGCUCUGCUCCUCACAUUACUGGUUGUAUGUUUUGUGGAAGGGAAAGAGGAUUCAGUAGACCUGUACGGAGAUUUGGAUGGGAAGGUGGGGAUCAAGUUUCUUGUCACUGUGAAUGACACCUGGGACGAAAAUGGAUGCAUUGACCCAUUGCGACCCCUAUGUUAAUAUCCGGGGUCAAAUACAACCUAUCAGACGCCAUUUCUGUCGGGUCAUGUGACCGAGGUCCUCUCAGGUUCAACGUCCAGCAGCUGCAGGGACAGAAGACGUCCAUGCAGGUGGAUCUGACCUUCUAUUCCUCCGUUAUAGAGGAUGCCUCACCCCCUACAUGCUCCCUACAGUGGAACGGGACUUACCUGGUCCCAAAAUCAACGAACCCACGUGAGUCGCUUCUCCCCUGGCUGCUUCACCAUGGACUCACGCGAGGGGUAUCACAUGACCUACUACUGGUUCUACAUCUUGGAGUGGGCCUUCUAUUAAACUUCAUUUCGCAUAACA